AGAGCGAACGCUGGCGGCAGGCCUAACACAUGCAAGUCGAACGGACUCUUCGGAGUUAGUGGCGGACGGGUGAGUAACACGUGGGAACGUGCCUUUAGGUUCGGAAUAGCUCCUGGAAACGGGUGGUAAUGCCGAAUGUGCCCUUCGGGGGAAAGAUUUAUCGCCUUUAGAGCGGCCCGCGUCUGAUUAGCUAGUUGGUGAGGUAAAGGCUCACCAAGGCUACGAUCAGUAGCUGGUCUGAGAGGAUGACCAGCCACAUUGGGACUGAGACACGGCCCAAACUCCUACGGGAGGCAGCAGUGGGGAAUCUGCGCAAUGGGACGAAAGCCUGACGCAAGCCAUGCCGCGUGAAUGAUGAAGGUCGUAGGAUUAGUAAAAUUUCUUACAAGGUAGGGACGAAUAAUGUAACGUACCUACGAAGAAGACG
rnacentral:rRNA from 1 species